CAGCAAUGUUACCAAGCCUUUGUCUUGCCCCAGAACAAAAGACCUUCACAACAAUCACCGACAUUUACAAGACAAAAUUGCUUUUACUGGAGAAAAGUUGGCCAAGAAAGUGGGCUUGUCUGUCAGGUGCAGAUGGUGCUGCUGUGAUUUAUGGAGGAGUUUAAUCCCCACCCACAUAUUAGUGAUGUAAUGGCAGGCAACUGAGUCUGGGCCGGUGUCUGGAGUCCUGACAACUAGGUGAGAAGCCCACCAGCCCAGGAAAUGCUGACAGUCAAUGGGAUGGAAGUGCAACUCUUUACAAGUUUACACCAUCUUACAAGAUCAAGGCUUGUGAUGAAAGGACAUUUGUCAUCAUAAAACACAGUCAGUGUAACUGACCAGAUGGCCAUGCCUUGGUGGUGGGACAAGUCACAGGAGUAUGGGGAAACCGAGACAGAUUUGGCAGAACUUCCCACACUUCCAUGAUCUACCACAAAAAUCAGAAAACAACUAACCAGUUUAUCCACUUCAGAAAAAAAAAGCGGAGGAAAUUCACAAAGAUACAAGAGUGAGCCAUGAUGAAAGGCCAUGAUAUAUAUUUUCCCGUUUGCAGGAAGUUGUAUAAAAAGAUAGGUUGCCGGAAAUUGAAAGUAGUAGAUGGAUGUGAUAGAAGCAAGAUUGAUAAGAUGAUUUGUGUGUCCAGGACAAUGUACUUGAAUAUUAGUUGUAAAUAAAAUAAAUUACAUUA